UACGUAGGGGGCGAGCGUUGUCCGGAUUUAUUGGGCGUAAAGAGCGUGUAGGCGGUUCGGUAAGUCUGUCGUGAAAUCCUGAGGCUCAACCUCGGGCGUGCGAUGGAUACUGCCGGGCUAGAGGAUGGUAGAGGCGAGUGGAAUUCCCGGUGUAGCGGUGAAAUGCGCAGAUAUCGGGAGGAACACCGGUGGCGAAGGCGGGACUCUGGGCCGAUACUGACGCUGAGGAGCGAAAGCGUGGGGAGCGAACAGG
rnacentral:rRNA from 1 species